AGUAGUAACAAAAGAAAAACUCAUGAAUAAUGGCGGUUUCAAUAAAUUAGAGAAGCUCGCUUAUUAAUCGAUAAUACCCGAUUAAUUUAACUUAAUUCAUAUAUAGCUUAUAUACCGCCGUUUACAGAUCUUAUAAUAAAAAUACAACUCCCAAAAAUAAAAAUUAGAAAAUCAGGUCAAGGUGUAGCCCAUAUUUAAGUUUAAGUAAGCUACAAUAAAUAUAAUUUAAGAAUUAAAAUUAAACAAACAAAAUGAAAAAGAAUUUAUAUGUACAUUAAAAUU
rnacentral:rRNA from 1 species